rnacentral:rRNA from 1 species
GAAGGCGGUUUUUUUGGUCUGUAANUGACGNUGNGGCUNGAAAGUAUGGGNANCAAACAGAGAUUANAUACCCUGNUNUUCCNNACNNUAAAAGAUGAAUGCUAAGUGUUGGAGGGUUUCCGNCCUUCAGUGNUGCAGCUAACGCAUUAAGCAUUCCGCCUGGGGAGUACGNCCGCAAGGCUGAAACUCAAAGGAAUUGACGGGGGCCCGCACAAGCGGUGGAGCAUGUGGUUUAAUUUGAAGNUACGCGAAGAACCUUACCAGGUCUUGACAUACUAUGCAAAUCUAAGAGAUUAGACGUUCCNUUCGGGGACAUGGAUACAGGUGGUGCAUGGUUGUNGUCAGCUCGUGUCGUGAGAUGUUGGGUUAAGUCCCGCAACGAGCGCAACCCUUAUUAUCAGUUGCCAGCAUUAAGUUGGGCACUCUGGUGAGACUGCCGGUGACAAACCGGAGGAAGGUGGGGAUGACGUCAAAUCAUCAUGCCCCUUAUGACCUGGGCUACACACGUGCUACAAUGGAUGGUACAACGAGUUGCGAACUCGCGAGAGUAAGCUAAUCUCUUAAAGCCAUUCUCAGUUCGGAUUGUAGGCUGCAACUCGCCUACAUGAAGUCGGAAUCGCUAGUAAUCGCGGAUCAGCAUGCCGCGGUGAAUACGUUCCCGGGCCUUGUACAUCACCGCCCGUCACACCAUGAGAGUUUGUAACACCCAAAGUCGGUGGGGUAAUUGUUUUACG